GUCAAAGAGGAUUUUUACUCUCGCGCAGGUGUAAGUGGGUGGUUUUUACUCUCAUGCAGGUGUGAGUGGGUGGUUUUUACUCUCAUGCAGGUGUGAGUGGGUAGUUUUUACUCUCGUGCAGGUGUGAGUGGGUGGUUUUUACUCUCAUGCAGGUGUGAGUGGGUAGUUUUUACUCUCGUGCAGGUGUGAGUGGGUGGUUUUAACUCUCAUGCAGGUGAGUGGGUGGUUUUUAUUUUCAUGCGAGUGUGAGUGGGUGGUUUUUACGCUCGUGCAGGUGUGAGUGGGUGGUUUUGAGACUCAAGCAGGUGUGAGUGCAUGGUUUUUAUGCUUGUGCAGGUGACAGUGGGUGGUUUUUACGCUCAUG
ensembl:lncRNA